rnacentral:rRNA from 1 species
GAUGAACGCUGGCGGCGUGCCUAAUACAUGCAAGUCGAGCGAACGGACGAGAAGCUUGCUUCUCUGAUGUUAGCGGCGGACGGGUGAGUAACACGUGGAUAACCUACCUAUAAGACUGGGAUAACUUCGGGAAACCGUAGCUAAUACCGGAUAAUAUUUUGAACCGCAUGGUUCAAAAGUGAAAGACGGUCUUGCCGUCACUUAUAGAUGGAUCCGCGCUGCAUUAGCUAGUUGGUAAGGUAACGGCUUACCAAGGCAACGAUGCAUAGCCGACCUGAGAGGGUGAUCGGCCACCCUGGAACUGAGACACGGUCCAGACUCCUACGGGAGGCAGCAGUAGGGAAUCUUCCGCAAUGGGCGAAAGCCUGACGGAGCAACGCCGCGUGAGUGAUGAAGGUCUUCGGAUCGUAAAACUCUGUUAUUAGGGAAGAACAUAUGUGUAAGUAACUGUGCACAUCUUGACGGUACCUAAUCAGAAAGCCACGGCUAACUACGU